rnacentral:tRNA from 1 species
AAAGAAUUAGUUUAAAAAAUAACAUUAAAUUGUCAAUUUAAAAAUAUUUUUAUUAAAAAAUAUUCUUUA